CCUACGGGAGGCAGCAGUGAGGAAUAUUGGUCAAUGGACGAGAGUCUGAACCAGCCAAGUAGCGUGAAGGAUGACUGCCCUAUGGGUUGUAAACUUCUUUUAUAUGGGAAUAAAAUGUUCCACGUGUGGGAUUUUGUAUGUACCAUAUGAAUAAGGAUCGGCUAACUCCGUGCCAGCAGCCGCGGUAAUACGGAGGAUCCGAGCGUUAUCCGGAUUUAUUGGGUUUAAAGGGAGCGUAGGUGGAUUGUUAAGUGAGUUGUGAAAGUUUGCGGCUCAACCGUAAAAUUGCAGUUGAAACUGGCAGUCUUGAGUACAGUAGAGGCAGGCGGAAUUCGUGGUGUAGCGGUGAAAUGCUUAGAUAUCACGAAGAACCCCGAUUGCGAAGGCAGUUCACUGGACUGCAACUGACACUGAGGCACGAAAGUGUGGGUAUCAAACAGGAUUAGAUACCCGUGUAGUC
rnacentral:rRNA from 1 species